rnacentral:rRNA from 1 species
AGAGUUUGAUCCUGGCUCAGGAUAAACGCUGGCGGCGUGCUUCAGGCAUGCAAGUCGAACGAGUGUCCACCUUCGGGUGGACUACUAGUGGCGGACGGGUGAGUAACGCGUUAGCAACCUGCCCAAAAGUGGGGAAUAACUAACCGAAAGGUUAGCUAAUACCGCAUGUGAUGGCCGGUCCUUGGACUGGUUAUGAAAGGCUUCGGCCGCUUUUGGAGGGGCUUGCGUCAGAUUAGCUUGUUGGUGGGGUAAUGGCCUACCAAGGCGACGAUCUGUAGCUGGUCUGAGAGGACGAUCAGCCACACGGGGACUGAGAUACGGCCCCGACUCCUACGGGAGGCAGCAGCUAGGAAUCUUGGGAAUGGGCGAAAGCCUGACCCAGCAACGCCGCGUGGGCGAUGAAGGCCUUCGGGUCGUAAAGCCCUUUUGUAGGGGACGAUGAUGACGGUACCCUGCGAAUAAGCCACGGCUAACUACGUGCCAGCAGCCGCGGUAAU